rnacentral:rRNA from 1 species
GAUGAACGCUGGCGGCGUGCCUAAUACAUGCAAGUCGAGCGAACGGACGAGAAGCUUGCUUCUCUGAUGUUAGCGGCGGACGGGUGAGUAACACGUGGAUAACCUACCUAUAAGACUGGGAUAACUUCGGGAAACCGGAGCUAAUCCCGGAUAAUAUUUUGAACCGCAUGGUUCAAAAGUGAAAGACGGUCUUGCUGUCACUUAUCGAUGGAUCCGCGCUGCAUUAGCUAGUUGGUAAGGUAACGGCUUACCAAGGCAACGAUGCAUAGCCGACCUGAGAGGGUGAUCGGCCACACUGGAACUGAGACACGGUCCAGACUCCUACGGGAGGCAGCAGUAGGGAAUGUUCCGCAAUGGGCGAAAGCCUGACGGAGCAACGCCGCGUGAGUGAUGAAGGUCUUCGGAUCGUAAAACUCUGUUAUUAGGGAAGAACAUAUGUGUAAGUAACUGUGCACAGCUUGACGGUACCUAAUCAGAAAGCCACGGCUAACUACGUG